CACGUAGGGGGCAAGCGUUGUCCGGAUUUAUUGGGCGUAAAGAGCUCGUAGGCGGUUCGGUAAGUUGGGUGUGAAACCUCCAGGCUCAACCUGGAGACGCCACCCGAUACUGCUGUGACUAGAGUCCGGUAGGGAGCGGUGGAAUUCCUGGUGUAGCGGUGAAAUGCGCAGAUAUCAGGAGGAACACCAGCGGCGAAGGCGGCGCUCUGGGCCGGAACUGACGCUGAGGAGCGGAAAGCGUGGGUAGCAAACAGG
rnacentral:rRNA from 1 species